rnacentral:rRNA from 1 species
GGAAUCUUGGACAAUGGGGGCAACCCUGAUCCAGCGACGCCGCGUGGGUGAUGAAGGCCUUCGGGUUGUAAAGCCCUUUCGACGGGGACGAUGAUGACGGUACCCGGCGAAGAAGCACCGGCUAACUCCGUGCCAGCAGCCGCGGUAAUACGGAGGGUGCAAGCGUUAAUCGGAAUUACUGGGCGUAAAGCGCACGCAGGCGGCUUUUUAAGUCGGAUGUGAAAGCCCCGGGCUCAACCUGGGAAUUGCAUUCGAUACUGGGAAGCUAGAGUAUGUGAGAGGGGGGUAGAAUUCCAAGUGUAGCGGUGAAAUGCGUAGAGAUUUGGAGGAAUACCAGUGGCGAAGGCGGCCCCCUGGCACAAUACUGACGCUCAGGUGCGAAAGCGUGGGGAGCA